UACGGGGGGGGGCAAGCGUUGUUCGGAAUUACUGGGCGUAAAGGGCUCGUAGGUGGCCAACUAAGUCAGACGUGAAAUCCCUCGGCUUAACCGGGGAACUGCGUCUGAUACUGGAUGGCUUGAGAUUGGGAGAGGGAUGCGGAAUUCCAGGUGUAGCGGUGAAAUGCGUAGAUAUCUGGAGGAACACCGGUGGCGAAGGCGGCCAUCUGGACCGCAACUGACGCGUGAGGCGCGAAAGCGUGGGGAGCAAACAGGG
rnacentral:rRNA from 1 species